CUUCCAUCUGGUUGAAAAGCCAUUGGAAAAAAAUGGGUCCUCAAAAUUAAGCGAAGAGCGAUCGUAACUAUAAUGGUCCUAAGAUAGAGAAAUUCCUUGUCGGGUAAGUUUUGACCCGCACGAAAG
rnacentral:rRNA from 1 species